UAUAAGGAAGAAAUUCUUUACUCUGAGGGUGUUAAAACCCUGGCCCAGGUUGCCCAGAGAGGUGGGAGAUGCCCCAUCCCUGGAAACACCCAAGGCCAGGCUGGCCGGGGCUCUGAGCAACCUGAUCUAGUGGGAGAUGUCCCUGCUCACUGCAGGGGGUUGGACUGGAUGGCCUCUAAAACCCCCUUCCCAUCCAAACCUUUCUAUGAUUAUAUGUGAUCUUACAAUGCCUAAAGAGACCCGAGCCCGACACUCACUGAGCAUUAAUUACAGACAUGGCACAAGCAGAGAAGGGGACUCCUGCCCCACUUGCCCCAGUUCUAAUGAGUGGAUUUCUCUGGGGCUUUAAUGGGGUGACCAGAGGCAGAAAAGGGGCUGGGGGGACACACGCAGUGGGAAGCAGCUCUGCAUCCAGGACUUGCCUUUUGAUGCUACAGCCUUUGAUCCCAGCAGGACUAUGUCCUCCCCUGCCUGGGGCUCGUUGCUGUGUCCGGGAAUUUGGAGCAGGUGCUGGGGCGAAUCCCACGGGCCGUGCACAGCAGAGCCCUCAACGCGAUGUUCCACCACCACGAUUUUCCACUUCCUACUGGCAGAGGCAUGCGAAAACUUCCCAAGGCAAUUCCUGCAGUUUUGGCUGGAAGAGGCAAACAAUAAAAGAACGGGGCAGGAGAAAAAAAAGAUGGCAAAGUCCCAAUAUAAUUUUGCUGUCUGGAAGUUCAUUAGUGUGUGGUAGCUGCUGCAGCUGCUGGAUUUAUUUCCAUCACACCCCGCCGAGGUGGCAGCCAUGUGCUGAAGGUGUUUCAGGCACAGUGGGACGGUGAUCGGAGCCAAGGGCUUUGCCGGAGAGCUCUGGGAGUCACUGCGAGUGCAAGGCUGGGGCUAGACGGGGAAGGUCACAGCUCGGGAUGAAGGUGCAUUAGCAGAGAUUGAGCUUUACUUUCGUGGCUGGCAUUAGUUUUUCUCCCCCCUUCUCUAUCCCAUCCCUCUCCAUGGGUAAUGCAGCCUGGAGAAAGGAGGAUAGAGAAAACUUCUGAGUGUUGGUUCUUGCUCUCACCAACCCUCACGACUUUUUGUCAGGGGUCUUGGGGAUGAGGCGGGGUUUGCUCCAAGCUGCCCUUUCUGCCAUCACACAGAAAAGUUGGCUAUCACUUGGAAAAAGUGAGGGAGAAGAAUUGCCCCCAUGGAGAGUUCAGAGUUCACAAAUACAAAUCCAGAAGGCCUCCAAAACCCCAAAAGUGGAUAAAAAGCUUAAAAAAAAAAAAAAAAAAAAAAAGCCAAACAGCCAAACAAACCAGAGCAUAUUGGUUUAGGAGUCAUGAAUCUGAAAAAGGGCCAUGUGAUGCAUUUGGAGGUGGCUCAGGACCACCUCAUGGCGGCUGGGGAAGGUGGCCAGCCUGCUCUCCACCCCAGCAGGACUCCAGAGUUUUCCAGCCCUGGCAAUCUGCGAGUGACCAAAUCUAAGUGGCAGUGUAAUUCAGUGGCCCAAAUUACCAACAGAUCUGGUGCAGGGUCACUGCUUAGUCCCACAGGAGGUGGCUGGCAGCCGUGCUGAGGACAGGAGGCUCCUCCUGGGGCUGCCCAUGAUUUCCCUGGCUGCCUCUGGAGCUUCUGACCCAAUCUUAAGGGCCACAGAGAGCACACAGAGCAAAACCACUUAAAAAGGAGCUCACGUGAUCCAUUGGUUUAUUUUGGUUCCCAUUUCCCCAUCUUCCUUGUGAGCGAUGCUUGGGAAGGAGGUUACGGUGUGAGCCAGGAGGUCACAGCAGGCAGAGGUUGAGUUAUGCUUGAUUUGCAGUACAAAUGGCAUGGGAUGGGCACAUCGCAUGUUGAACAAUAAAUAUGUAUGUGUUCUUAUUUUCCUCCUGUUUUUUAAGUGUCCUUCACCAAAACCUUGAGAGCUGGAUCUACGCUUAAAGAAAACCAGAAUUCUUUCAUGGAACCACAUGAUUGUAAGGAUGGACCGUUUAGAAAAAAGUGAAGUAUGUCGGACCUUGGAACAGCAUAACGUAAGGCAUCACCACUUUGGGUGGUGCUUAGACUCCCCUGGGUGGUGGCUGACCCAUCAGUUUUUGACUUGCUUGUUCGGUCAAGCAAUAAUGAGAAGCUUGUCGUCCGCCCAUUCAUCCAUCCAUCCGUGGGUUGCCCAUCAGUCCCAUUCUCUGGAGCAAAGGACACAGUUGCUGGAAGAUCGUUCUGCCUCCCAAAACACCUCUUCCCUUCUCCCAGAGAAGUCAUUCUGUCCUGGGGAGUCCCAACAUACCUCUCUACAGAAGGAAAAACUUCACUCCAGUCCAAUACAUGGCAAUACAAAGAGUCACUCUGUGUAUACUGGAAAAGCAGAAGAUUCCAGAGCUAGCCGCAUCGCGAUGGACAGAAACUUUAAGCUUGGAUUCCCCAAAGAGCUGCAAGGCAACGUGGGAUGUGGCUCCUGAGCUCUUUGCUGGAGCUUAACCUUUGCACAACGGGGAAACAAGCGUUGAGGAAGUUGCGGAGCAAGUCCUGUUUCCCCUUGGCCCUGGGUACAACGCAAGCACAAGGCAUAGAGUCAUCUUCCAUGCCAAAAUAAUCUCCCUCUGUGCUUCUGACCCCAUGACUCAUUGUCGGAGCCAGGAGGUAGCGGUGGGAAGGGGCUGGUUUGCAGGACAAGUGUGUGGUGAGACGAGGCCAGGCGAUAGGCCUGGAGGCUUAGGUUGGCGCGUCAGUGAGGGUGAGGUGGGAAGGAGUCAACGUCUUCGUUGUCAUCCUUGUUAAGUCUCAGGGGUGGUACAGAAUGAACGGCUGCUGAGCAACGUGUUCUAGCUGAAGAUGUCCUAGUUGAAGAUGUCCCUGCUCAUGGAAGGGGGUUGGACUGGAUGGCCUUUAAAGGUCCCUUCCAACCCAGACCACUCUAUGCUUCUAUGACUGAUUCUAUGAUUCUAUGAUUCAGUGGAUAAAGUCUUGGCCCGGGCGCCAGCCAGCGACCCCAGCCACUGCGGCACAGACCUACUGACAUGCUGAAAUGUCUGAAGUGGGGACAUGGGUGGAACAUGCCUAAACUCCAGCUUUGCAAGAAAAUCUCCAGCUCGCUGGUGGCCUGCAACACUUCCUGCAUCCUGCCAGGCCUUGGCCUCUCAUUAGGGACUUCUAAUGAGGAUCGGGACCCUCCUGGUGGCGUUUCUCAGCCUGAGCAGCCCCAUUCCCUUGGCAUGACCCGAGUUCCUAACACACCUCUCUCGCUCUGCACAGCUGACCUGCUGUGUAAAAGUGUUUUCAUGUGAAACCACAGCACGGAGACACAGACCAGAGCAGGGGCUGUUUGCUGAGGGGGGCUGGGGAUGGAGAUUGAAUUCACAUCUUCACUGGAACUUCUCCCUUCCUUGUGGAGCUAAAUCACCAGUUUCUGAGCUACUAGGGGAGUUGGAAAUGUUCUUGCGUUUGGUGCUCUGUCUUGUCUGUGGCAUAACCUCCUCUGCAUCACUCGGGUGAAGCCACUCCAACAGGAGACGCUGUCACCGUGCCCUGCCUUGCUCCUGGUGACACUUGGCUGUGGACAGCCAUCUGGCUCUGUAGAAGACCAAGGUCAGCCUCAGUGUUUCAUCACCCCUCUUGGUCAGCCAGCAGUUACCUUUGGAAGGUGUCUAUGCCCCUGUAUUACUGCAGCUUUUCUCUCACAUUAAUUUAAGCACAGGAUGAGUUUACAGUUCUUCCUGCUGCCAGCUGAAUGUUGUAGUUGCUCAGCUGCAAUGUUGGCCUCUGCUACUUCAGCCCAAUCAAUCCCAAGUGCUUUUCUGCACAAUCGAGCCCAAAGAAUCCUAAGCACAGCUUCACCAGGAGAGCAGGGGACGACUUCACUGGCACAGGCUGCCCAGAGAGGUGGGGCAGUCACCACCCACGGAGGUAUUUAAAGGAUGUGUAGAUGCAGCACGUCAGGGCAUGGUUUAGGAAGCACGGUAGUGCUGCGUUGACGGUUGGACUUGGUGAUCCUAGAGGUCUUUUCCAACCUUAAUGAUUCUAUGACUCUAUGAUUCUACUUUUCACUCCAGAGAGCCCUAAAGGCUGAUGUAUAGUGGGUGGGAGGUCUUGGUCAAUAACAAGGUCCUGAGGUUCAUGGAGAUGUUAAGUGCCGCCGGUAGAAAGCAAGCUGGACCACGUGGGUCCUCGUCUGGUGUCUGUCUCCUAUCUAUCGGAAGGUUUUUAGAAGUAGUGACUUUUCUGUGAUUUGCUUUUUCAGCCGAAACACCAUCCCACAGGGUGGAGUGUACGCAGGCUGUACCCAGACUUUAGCAAAACCCUCUCCAAUAUUCUGGAUAUCUAUUUAGCUCUCUCCGCAAGGCAGCCUCUUAUUUUUGCCACUCACAUCUUUCUUCCUGCCAUUGUCACCCCAAUAAACAUGUGGUUGUAGUACCUUUUCUUCCCAGCCACCAAAUCCUCCUCACUGCUCCAGUCUUCUCCACGAUCCCCUCCUUACCUCUAGCAGGUCUUUCUCUCUGCUCCAUGACUACCAAAACCCAGCAUGUCCUGGAUUUCCUGCUUUCAUCGGCACAUAUUCAGUGAUCGAGUGAGUCCCCUGAGAAGUGCCCCAAGGCUUGAGAUAGUUGGGGUGGGGGACAGUGGCUGCUGCUCCAGAAAGGCGUCGGUCUCCUGCAGGGUCUGUGUCACACCUGCCAGCCACCCCUGCAGAAAUGUCUUCAUCUCCCUAUGGCCUAUGUAUAUGACACAAAUCUGAGCGAGAUGUGGGCUAUGGUUCAGAUGCCCACACAUAGACACUCGGUGCCAUCUGAGAUGCUUGAGAGUUUCUGAGACUUGCAGACAGUGUGAUGACCCAGGACCUCUGGAGACCUUCUUGCCUCUGGAUGGUGCUUGGAAGCCAGGUGGGCUAGAGUUGGAGAAUAAUUUAGACUGAAAAGGACUUAUUUAGGUCAUCUAAUCCAACCGCAGCUAUCCUCAGACAUCUCAGAUGGUGCCAGGCACUUUGAGAGGCUUCUCUCCCUGCUCCCAAGUGGUGUCCCCCAAUGCUCGUUACUCUGCCCGUUCUGCUCAGAGUCAUGACCACCGCGAGCUCCUCACCCGCGGCUCGCCUUCAUUGUCAGUGGAGUGCUCAGCAGCCUCCUGCAGAGGAUGCCCAGAGGGCCUGAUACAGCUCUCGUGCCUACUGGUUUUUGUCUGGGGCAGGGUUGGGCCAUGUUCUGCCAGGUGUGAGCCCCAGCAUCCCCCCACCAUCCCAGCUUCCCACGGUGGUGGAUCCUCCUCUCUCUGGUUCAUCUACAGCAGCUCCUUGUCUCCAGCCGGAGCCGUCAGCUUGACUUGAGACUGUCUGGGCUCUCCAAGGGAUGCCACUGAAUCCAUUUCAAUGGGACAAUUUAUCUUGCUCCAGCUCCCUUUUGACUAUGGUUGGCCGUGCAGCGUGGAAGCGUGGUUCCUGCCGGCUCGGUGAUGUGCCCGCUGGGCCGGCAGCAGAGCCGUGGAGGGUAGGUUGGUGCUAACAAGGGGGGGAGCUGCCACUGAACGGGCUUUUCCCUGCCUGGCCUCGGUUUGCAGCAGCAAGCGUCCCUGCGGAGCUGCCCAGCCCUCUGAAGUCUGUAAAGGCUGGCUUUUCAGCGGCAAGGCUUGAACUAAUUUGUCUGUGAGGCUCUCUAGAGACGUCACCUCACCCGCUGAGAUAAGUGGUUGUAAUUUAAACACCUGCGAGUUGUCCUCGUUUUCCACCCCUCCCCCCUGAAAUAUUGCACUGCUUUCUUAGGAGAAGGUAGUGUGCUGCACAAAGAGGUUUUAAUUAAACGGAAGCAUACAUAAUCCCUUUCUCCUGUUUUAAUUGAGUUUCCACUGAGGGAAGCCAACAGUAUUUGCCAAAACAGGGCCUGGAUCUGCCUCGCGCAUCUUCAGAUAUGAGAUGCAUCCCAGUAUGGGGGAGUAAGCCCUUGAAA